AUUGAACGCUGGCGGCAUGCGUUACACAUGCAAGUCGAACGGCAGCACGGACUUCGGUCUGGUGGCGAGUGGCGAACGGGUGAGUAAUACAUCGGAACGUGCCCAGUUGUGGGGGAUAACUACUCGAAAGAGUAGCUAAUACCGCAUGAGAACUGAGGUUGAAAGCAGGGGAUCGUAAGACCUUGCGCAACUGGAGCGGCCGAUGGCAGAUUAGGUAGUUGGUGGGAUAAAAGCUUACCAAGCCGACGAUCUGUAGCUGGUCUGAGAGGACGACCAGCCACACUGGGACUGGGACACGGCCCAGACUCCUACGGGAGGCAGCAGUGGGGAAUUUUGGACAAUGGGCGAAAGCCUGAUCCAGCAAUGCCGCGUGCAGGAUGAAGGCCUUCGGGUUGUAAACUGCUUUUGUACGGAACGAAAAGACUCCUUCUAAUAAAGGGGGUCCAUGACGGUACCGUAAGAAUAAGCACCGGCUAACUACGUGCCAGCAGCCGCCGUAACAC
rnacentral:rRNA from 1 species